UGGAGGAGGUGGAGAAAGGAAGUCUGUGCUCCUGCUGAGACUGGAUGACUGUGUGAAUAGCAGGGAAAAAGCAGCACACACCAGCUGGGAUUUGCAUCAGAUUGAGAAGAAUCCUUAUCCCUCACCUGGGUCCAUUUGUGGAGCUUCCUGAGAUGAAAUGGACUUCCCUCUGAAUUGACCAGAGUUGAAGCUGGAACCACAUAGAGUCUUAUUAGCACGCCAUGCUUUGGUUCCAAGGCUCUCUUAGGAUCUCUUCAAUCUGGGGAAGUCAUCAGCCUACAUUGGCAUAAUAUUAUGCAACAGGAUUUUGGCCAUUGAAUGUAUACGUAAGCUGCAUUAAAAUGAAUACCGAAUAAGUAAAGACCCAAGAUGGAUGAGUAACAUGGUUAAUUCUCUGGAAAUUGAUAAGAAAAGGGGCUGGACAAAAAGGCUGCUUUUCAUAGUACGUAUGCCCUUUUACAGCUGCCAUUCCUUUCCAUGGGUCUUAUGAAGGAGAUCCACCUGGUGGGUUUUGACUGUUCUCUGCUGGGCUUCUUUCUGACUGCUGAACAGGCUCUCAGCUGUUCUAUUAGCAAGAUAAGUGUCAAAGUGCAUGGAGGGGGGGGGCUCUAAAUCAACAGCUGCUCCAUUCCACUAGGACACAAAGGUCAAUUUGCACAACCAUCUCAAGGCAGCCUUUAAGUAAGAAAAAUGCUUUUGACCUAGUCAGCCUUUUCCUAAGUGUGAACAUGCCUAGUGCCACUUUUGCUGUUUAGGCUAAAUGCAGAGCCACAAGGGGUCUGAAUGGUGAGGAUGACUGCAAUUGUUCAAUGUCAGUUUGAACUGUCUAGUACUUCACAUCCCAAUAUUCAGAGUGAGUCAGCAGACAAACCAACUUUCUUCCAGGAUGUAACACUGUCUUGAGGCACAGGAUGUGAGAAAGAGGCAGGAAAUUAGAAGACAUUUCCACCACCACCCCUCAGUCCCAAUCCAACAUGCAUGCAUUUAUAUGUAUGCUGCUAACCUCCAAAAAGGUGGAGGGGAGAAUGCAGUGAAUGUUAAGUAGCUGGAUGGAUUCUACGGUGUGUUUUUUCUUCUAUUGUUUAGCAACACAGACAUUUGGUCCAUUCAGCCCAGUCAAUCCUCACUAGAAGCAGCACUUCAGAGUUUGAAACAGGACUCUUUCCUAGAUCCUCAUGGAGAUCCUUCAAAUGCUCAACAGGUCUCCCAUCCAAGUACUAACCAGAUCUGGUUCUGCUUAGCUUACAAUAUGAGACAGGGUCAUAUGGUGACACUAUCCUAGUUCAAAGUGGUAUGGUUAUAGGUGAAAAAAACUGGGCACCACUUCCUAUUGAUUUAUUCGAUGCAAAAUUCUUUUAUGGACAGAUUUGUUUCAUACCAAUAACCAUCCCAUCUAGUUUUCUUUCAAUCUCCUAAUGGAAAAGCCCAGGACAUGGUGCCAAGUGUGCUUUCUUCUUUGGAUGGUUUAAUAUUCUAUGUCAGUGGUUGCCAACAUUUGGUAACUCUGGUGUUCUUGGACUGCAGUUCCAAGAAAAUUUCCCCACUAGCUGUGCUGGCCAGGCUUUCUGGGAGGAAAAGUCCAAGAACUCUUGGGUUUCCCAAGGUUGGGAGUUAAUGUUCUGUGCAAGGCAUAUCAUUGCUAUAUGAGUGGUAUUACAAAGUACUCCGCAUGCAUUAUAAGGAUAUUUGAGCCAUUUUUGUUUUUAGUAAGUGGGAUACCACCACUCCUUUGCACUUCCUUUGAAACAUCAUAACAUUUAAAAAUCCAUAUGUUUUUUAGAGUUAUCAUUCCUUAGGCACUUCAAUGUGUGUUAUAUUUGUGAAGGUUAAUAAUGGCUCUAAGGUGGAGAUAAGGCAUGAAGAUAUACUAAAGCAGCUUUGUCUGUAGCAGCACUAUACAGUGAGUGCAGAUCAUACAUAAAACAUUCAACAUGUUGUUUAUUUAACUAAGAGCCCAUGCCAGACAAGUCAGACUGAACAGAAUACUGUAGAAAUUAUUGCCUUAAGUGGCUGUUUCCUGAUUUCUUAUUGACAAACUGCCCAAUAGAGUUACUGCUUGAAUGUAAUGGAAAGGAAGUCUUUUACAACUUCAUUUGUCAAUGAUGUAGCCAAAACUCUUCACCACUACAACGGAAAAAUAUUUGGAAGAUCAGGAUUAUUUGCACUCUGAAGUCAGGUAGCAGGAUCAUAUAUUGCUGGUUUCUUUUCUGAAAGGUACACAGUGUGGUGUAUUGGAUAGAAUUACAUCUUACGACUCAACUAAGGAAAUUCAUUGGGGGAAAUGGAACUGGCAAAACUACUCCUUAAAUUUCUCACUUACCAUGAAUGCCCUAUUACAGUGGGGUCUCUACUUAAG